UGUGUUUACCUGGACAUAGUUUGCUUACCCACUGAAGACUGCAUCCAGGUGAACAGAGUCA
ensembl:miRNA